rnacentral:rRNA from 1 species
UACAGAGGGUGCAAGCGUUAAUCGGAAUUACUGGGCGUAAAGCGUGCGUAGACGGUUAUGUAAGUCGGGUGUGAAAGCCCCGGGCUCAACCUGGGAAUGUCAUUCGAGACUGCAUAGCUAGGGUGCGGAAGAGGGAAGCGGAAUUUCCGGUGUAGCGGUGAAAUGCGUAGAUAUCGGAAGGAACACCAGUGGCGAAAGCGGCUUCCUGGUCCAGCACCGACGUUCAGGCACGAAAGCGUGGGGAGCGAACAGG